rnacentral:lncRNA from 1 species
CCAUCCCUCUGUGUAUUUCCUUCUCCUCUUAGACACACUGGAAAAUCAUGAGGCCCAAGACAAGCCAGAGGUAAUUCCCACUCUUGGUCACUGAGAUUUAUCCGAAGCAUGCAUGUGACCCAUCCAGGCCAAUUAUAGUGUGGGGCUUUCCUACCUGAUCUGGGGGAAACAAACCCUUCCUUGGCUCAUCACAGCCAGUGAAAAUGGGAACCUACGCUGUGUUUAUUCGACCAUCCACACACACUCCAGCCUACAGACUUGAAGAAGGCCCACACAGCAUCAGGAGGCAAACCCAGAGCACUGACAAUUGAUCCCACUGAUUGCCAUAGCAAUAAAACAGUGACCACGACAAGGAAUAUCAAAGAAAAAAUCUGAAUAGAGAAUAUGUAGGGGUACCCAAAGGUGCAGUGGCCCCAGCGUUGGACAUGUGGAGCUAGCUGCCUGUGAACAAUGGAACACCUACUAAGACACUUGGAGAAGAAGGCUCCCAGAAGAAGUGGAAGCAAAGACAGGACGCUGCAAAAAGGUUCUGCUUUCAUCUGCAGAGAUGUAGACGGAAGACGGGAAGUUGGAAAUGACUUUUGUAAAGCCAUACAAAACCAGUCUUAUUUCUGGACCAGUUUCUAACUGACAUGUUUGCAACUCACCAUAUAUCUUACUUCUCCAUGAAGUAAAGUUAAUACAGUCUU